AACGAACGCUGGCGGCAUGCCUAACACAUGCAAGUCGAACGGACCUACUUAGCUUGCUAUGUAGGUUAGUGGCGGACGGGUGAGUAACGCGUGGGGACCUGCCCAGAAGUGGGGGACAACGACGGGAAACUGUCGCUAAUACCGCAUACGCCCUGAGGGGGAAAGGCUUCGGCCGCUUUUGGAUGGACCCGCGUCGGAUUAGCUAGUUGGUGGGGUAACGGCCUACCAAGGCGACGAUCCGUAGCUGGUCUGAGAGGAUGAUCAGCCACACUGGGACUGAGACACGGCCCAGACUCCUACGGGAGGCUG
rnacentral:rRNA from 1 species